rnacentral:rRNA from 1 species
GACGAACGCUGGCGGCGUGCUUAACACAUGCAAGUCGAACGGAAAGGCCCUGCUCUUGUGUGGUGCUCGAUUGGCGAACGGGUGAGUAACACGCGUGUAACCUGCCCUUGACUUUGGGAGAACAUCAGGAAAAUGCGGCGCUUACCGGGUAGGAGCUUCUGCUGCGUGGGGGGGGUUGGAAAGUGUCGGCGGUGGUGGAUGGUCUCGCGGCUUAUCCGCUGGUUGGUGGGGUAGUUACUUACCAAGGUUUUGAAGGCUAGCCGGCCUGAGAGGGUGACCGGCCACAUUGGGCCUGAGAUACGGACCAGAAUCCUACGGGAGGCAGCAGGGGGGAAUAUUGCACAAUGGGCGGAAGCCUGAUGCAGAAACGUCGCGUGCGGGAUGACGGCUUUCGGGUUGUAAACCGCUUUCGACUGUGACGAAGCGUGAGUGACGGUAAUGGGUAAAGAAGCACCGGCUAACUACGUG